CUAACCCUUAAGCCCUGCUGCUUAGUGUUGAGGGCCUACCAUAUUGGUAGCCCCCAGAAGGUAGUGGCGGAGCCCGGCCCGUGGCCCAGGUGUAGUGGAUCUUGUCUCGCCUGUGAGCAUGGUUGGAUGCCCCUGCCACAAAAUAUAACCCCCGAUACUCAA
rnacentral:misc_RNA from 1 species